rnacentral:rRNA from 1 species
UACGUAGGAGACGAGCGCUGUCCGGAAUCACUGGGCGUAAAGCGCGUGUAGGCGGAUGGGCAAGUCUGCUGUGAAAGCUCCUGGCUUAACCGGGAGUGGUCGGUGGAAACUGCCAAUCUGGAGGACGGUAGAGGUAGGUAGAAUUCCCGGUGUAGUGGUGAAAUGCGUAGAGAUCGGGAGGAAUACCUGUGGCGAAGGCGGCCUACUGGGCCGGACCUGACGCUGAGACGCGAAGGCGUGGGGAGCGAACGGG